rnacentral:rRNA from 1 species
UUUUAAAUUGAGAGUUUGAUCCUGGCUCAGGACGAACGCUGGCGGCGUGCCUAACACAUGCAAGUCGAGCGAUGAAACUUCCUUCGGGAAGUGGAUUAGCGGCGGACGGGUGAGUAACACGUGGGUAACCUGCCUCAAAGAGGGGGAUAGCCUCCCGAAAGGGAGAUUAAUACCGCAUAACAUUAUUUUAUGGCAUCAUAGAAUAAUCAAAGGAGCAAUCCGCUUUGAGAUGGACCCGCGGC